rnacentral:tRNA from 1 species
UCCUUGGUGGUCCAGUGGUUAAGACUUUGCCUUCCAAUGCAAGGGUUAUGGGUUCAAUUCCUAGUCAGGGAG